rnacentral:rRNA from 1 species
UACGGGGGGGGUAAGCGUUGUUCGGAAUUAUUGGGCGUAAAGCGCGUGUAGGCGGCAGUGCAAGUCGGGUGUGAAAGCCCUCAGCUCAACUGAGGAAGUGCGCCCGAAACUGCAUUGCUUGAGUACCGGAGAGGAUGGCGGAAUUCCCGAAGUAGAGGUGAAAUUCGUAGAUAUCGGGAGGAACACCGGUGGCGAAGGCGGCCAUCUGGACGGAGUACUGACGCUGAGACGCGAAAGCGUGGGUAGCAAACGAGG